UACGUAGGGGGCAAGCGUUGUCCGGAUUUAUUGGGCGUAAAAGGCUUGUAGGUGGCCACGCCAAGUCGGAUGUGAAAUCUCCCGGCUCAACUGGGAGGGGUCAUUCGAUACUGGCGGGCUCGAGGCCGGUAGGGGGAAGUGGAAUUCCCGGUGUAGUGGUGAAAUGCGUAGAUAUCGGGAGGAACACCAGUGGCGAAGGCGACUACCUGGCCUGUUUCUUGACGCUGAGGCGCGAAAGCUAGGGGAGCAAACGGG
rnacentral:rRNA from 1 species